rnacentral:rRNA from 1 species
GUCCUAGCUGUAAACGAUGGGCACUAGGCAGUGGAGGUCCGAUGCCGUCACUGUCGGAGUAAAUAUGUUAAGUGCCCCGCCUGGGGAGUACGGCCGCAAGGCUGAAACUCAAAGGAAUUGACGGGGGCUCACACAAGCGGUGGAGCAUGUGGUUCAAUUCGAAGCAACGCGCAGAACCUUACCAGGGUUUGAAAUGCACGGAUUAGCCUCCCGAAACGGAGGUGACGCCCUUGGGUGGAACGUGCACAGGUGUUGCAUGGCUGUCGU